GCAGCUCAGUGAAAGAGCAUUUGCUUUACAUGCAGAACGUCCCACAUUCAAUCCUGGGCAUCUCCA